rnacentral:rRNA from 1 species
UACGUAGGGGGCAAGCGUUUGUCCGGAAUCACUGGGCGUAAAGGGCGCGUAGGCGGGAUGGCAAGUCGGUCGUGAAAUCCUUCGGCUCAACCGAAGAACGUCGGCCGAUACUGCCGUUCUUGAGGGAUGCAGAGGAGAUUUGGAAUUCCUGGUGUAGCGGUGAAAUGCGCAGAUAUCAGGAGGAACACCGGUGGCGAAGGCGGGUCUCUGGGCCGAAAAUUGACGCUGAGGAGCGAAAAGCGUGGGGGAGCAAACAGG